rnacentral:sRNA from 1 species
UGUGCUGAUGUUUGGGGGUGAGUUCCCCCUC